rnacentral:tRNA from 3 species
AAGUGAUUAGUUUAAUAAAAACAUUUGAUUUCGGCUCAAACACUUAUGGUUAAACCCCAUAAUCACCUA